UUUACUGAACUUUUCCUUAAAUAGUGCAGCUCAGGCUACCAAGAAAAAUGGAAUCUACCAGUUCAGAAUAUUUGCAAAAGGGGUAAUUCACAACCCAGUGUGGUGCUCUAGGAGAUGCACUCUGUUCAUAUUUUCAGUACUCGUACCUCUUAUUUGGUUUUGGGUCUUCACCAAAUGUAUAUUUGAAAGAAGAAAAGAGUGCUUGAGAGGUAGGCUCAUUGAAGCUUUGAACCAUGUGAUGACUGAAGGAAGAAAACAAGGGAAAUACUCAGGAAAGAUUAGGAGCUCGAUGGCUUGUGCAGGUAUUUAAGCCCAUGCUGAGAAAAAAAGAUAGCCAAGAACAAUUAUGUAUAGUUAUUGCACACAUGUGAUUACGAUAGCUUUCAGAAAUGAAUUGUUUGAUUUUUAUCUUUGUUUAAUUAUAUUGGCUAAAACUAUGUUUCUGGAACACCAUUUUGCAAGCAGAAAUUUGUAUACAUAGCAUGUAUAGCUGUCCAUCCUAACUGAAACAGUAGAGAUAACCGUGUAUCUGCCAUUUCCGUAGACCAAAUGUUCAUAUGUUAUGCCUUUGUAUGUAGUAUUUGAUUUAUAUGUUGCUCA